AUUGAACGCUGGCGGCAGGCCUCACACAUGCAAGUCGAGCGGAGCGGCGGACGGGUGAGUAAUGCCUAGGAAUCUGCCUGGUAGUGGGGGAUAACGUACGGAAACGGGCGCUAAUACCGCAUACUAUCAGAUGAGCCUAGGUCGUAUUAGCUAGUUGGUGGGGUAAAGGCCUACCAAGGCGAAGAUCCGUCACUGGUCUGAGAGGAUGAGCAGCCACACUGGAACUGGGACACGGUCCAGCCUCCUACGGGAGGCAGCAGUGGGGAAUAGUGGACAAGGGGCGAAAGCCUGAUCCAGCCAUGCCGCGUGUGUGAAGAAGGUCUUCGGAUUGUAAAGCACGUUAAGUUGGGAGGCGUUACCAACAGAAUAAGCACCGGCUAACUUCGUGCCAGCCGCCGCGGUAAUAC
rnacentral:rRNA from 1 species